rnacentral:lncRNA from 1 species
GUGAUGUUUUAUUUUCAAAUCUCCUUCUGAGUGUUUUUUUUUUUUUUUAAAUUUUUCUUUUGGUGUUGCAUCUUAAACUUUCUUAAACUAAUUUAGGUGUAAGCAAAUAAUAGCUAAGCUGCCUUAAUUCAUUGAGCUUAAAGUUUGGGUAUUGCUCUACACAAAUUCAAUCACUUAAAAAUUUUCUAUUUCCGAAAAUUUUAAAAAUAACUCUAUAAUAAUGCAUAAAAUAAAACUCUGCACUUGACACAUUGCUGUAACAACACAUCCGUGACUUAUGUGUAAUAACUUUAAAUGUGUUGUUAUUCAACACAACUCUUUAAAAAUUAAAUUUAUUGGUUUUAGAACAUCUGAAUUACAACAAUGUAAUUAUAUAUGUAUAUAUAUGUACUCUUUCAGUAUUUUAAAAAGAUCUCUUUAUCUUAUCUGAAAUGUAAUAUUUUAUUGAAGGUUUAACUCUAUAAUUAAACUUCUUCAUUGCAGAUUACCUUACUAUUUCAGGAUCAAGAAAAUUAGGUUCAGUAUAUUUCUGCAAUUUAUGCAAUUACAAGACUGUUCAAAAGAGUAAAUUACAUCGUCAUAUUUUAAUACAUAGCGGAGAAAGACCAUUUGUGUGUAAUAUAUGCUUUAAAACUUUCAACCGUAAAGAUUCUUUAAAAUCCCAUCUGAUUGCUGUACAUAAAAUGCAUCAGAGAAAAUAGAAAAAUAAUUCUACACGCACCUUUGUUAGACGUUCUGCGACGUAUAUAUGUCCAUAUUGUCCUUAUCAAACUUACUACAAUUCGAACUUUGCAAGGCACAUGUGUGUCAAUAUUUGAGCACGUUCUUAAUCCUGUUCCUAUAUACUUAUUAUCUGUGUAUAACAUAACAACAAUGUCUCAAUUUGUUUAUGCUAAAUUUUUAAGAAUUAAUUGAAUAAUUUACAGAUAUUUUUUUUAAUGAUAUAUUAUUUUUGUCUUUUUAAUACCUUCAUUUUAUAAAUCUGAGGCUCUUGGUCAAAGUUGAUAAAUUUAGAAAAAAUUUAUGAAACUUAAAAUUAUGUGAUUGUUUCUUCCAAACAGAGCAUUGAGUGAAUUUAGUUCAAAAAGUUACUUCACUCAAUCAUAUUAUUGCAUGAUAUAAAAAAAUUAAAUUCAACUUUAACUUGAACUUCCUUUAUUAUUCCGUUACAUUUUCGUGUUUAAUUCAUUAGUUAAUGUAUUUUUGUUCAUGAGAAAUGUAUUUUUAAAUUGCUUUGAUUCAUUAUACAUUACACUUUAAUUACAAUAAUGACAACGGAGAAAAGAAAAGCAUUUAUCUUCUAUAGCAGUAGCUCCCAAACCAUUAGCUGCGGCCCUGAAGUAAGCUACAAACAUGGGAACACUGAGCCUAAAUGUAGAAUACAAUUUAAAAUAUAAUGACAAAUGUCUAUUGGUCAUUAUAUUUUUUACUGGUUUAUUUAGAAGUUAGUACUCAGAAGUUUUUUUUUGCAAACCUAGUGAUCUUCACAGCUAAAAUAGUUGAGAGCCACUGUCCUAUAGUGAUAUUAAAACGUAUAUAUUCCUUAAGAUUAUGUGUUUAAAAUAUUUUGCAUAAUAAAUUUUCUACUAUAAAAGAAAAAUGUUACCCUAAAUUUAAGUCAUAAUCGGCCAAAUAAAUACCAAGUUGGCAUUGUACCAUCUUUAGAUAAAUGCAGUUUUCUUUCUUCCUAAAAGAUUUAAACCUAGAGAUCGUAUGCUUUUGAUCUAACUUCAUCGUUUUUUCUCUUUAUUUUUUAUUAAUUCUAAUUUUUUUUGUAUUUUUUAGUUUCUAACACAAUAUGCUUUUGUUAUAAUUUGUGAUAAUGUUUGAGUUAGGUGCAGUAUAGAACUUUCCAGGUAUUGUGCCAUUAAGCUCCAUACUCAAUCAUCUCCCCUUUAAAUUUUUUAAGUUCACUUUGCAUGAGUUUGAUCAAAAACAUCAAAUAUAGUUAUUAAAUUUUGAUUAAUGAGUUAAAAAUCAGUUAUUGAUUCCCAUUAGGGUCGAAACAUAAAACUAAAAUAAAACCUUUUUUUAUGUGAACUUGAUUUAUUCUUUUGUUGAUGUAUAUUUAAUAAUUUAUUCUGAUAUUUAAAUAUAUUAAAGUAUCAGAAUUUUAUUUGGUCAAAAUUUACUUCCCAUUGUUUAAUGCUUUCAUUUCUGUUUUGUUAUUGUGUAACCAUUUUUCUUGUAUAAAAGUGCCAAAUAAAUUACUCUAUUUAACUAUAAAUGGAUUCAAUAAAAUGUAUUGUCUGCCCUUA